rnacentral:rRNA from 1 species
GACGAACGCUGGCGGCGUGCUUAACACAUGCAAGUCGAACGGAAAGGCCCUGCUUUUGUGGGGUGCUCGAGUGGCGAACGGGUGAGUAACACGUGAGUAACCUGCCCUUGACUUUGGGAUAACUUCAGGAAACUGGGGCUAAUACCGGAUAGGAGCUCCUGCUGCAUGGUGGGGGUUGGAAAGUUUCGGCGGUUGGGGAUGGACUCGCGGCUUAUCAGCUUGUUGGUGGGGUAGUGGCUUACCAAGGCUUUGACGGGUAGCCGGCCUGAGAGGGUGACCGGCCACAUUGGGACUGAGAUACGGCCCAGACUCCGACGGGAGGCAGCAGUGGGGAAUAUUGCACGAUGGGCGGAAGCCUGAUGCAGCAACGCCGCGUGCGGGAUGACGGCCUUCGGGUUGUAAACCGCUUUCGCCUGUGACGAAGCGUGAGUGACGGUAAUGGGUAAAGAAGCACCGGCUAACUACGUG